CGCAAUACUGCCCCACCACUCACAGCAGGCAUUCCCUCACUGUGCUACACCACUGGACUCAGCACAGGAAGCACCCUGAGCACUCAGCCUGCACCUCUCCAUCCUGCCUCCCACAGCCAGUCUGCUACUGCCAGACCCAGGGACCAUCAGCCAGGGGCUCUCUCUACAUCUCAGGAGAACAAGCUGCUGGGCUCAUAGUCCUCUCCUUCUGGCUGUCAGAUCAAACACAGCUCCUCAGGAUUUCAAUUGCCCUGAAGAAAACUUUUUUCUUCUUCUCUACUGAACCCUAAACGCCUGGAGGGGUCUCUUUGCCCCAGUUUGCCCCCCUCACUGACAAUUACUGCAGCCCCUCUCCAG